AGCUCCAAUAGCGUAUACUAAAGUUGUUGCAGUUAAAAAGCUCGUAGUUGGAUUUCUGUCUGAGAUGAACGGUCGGAACGUAAGUUCUUUGCACUUGUUAAUCAUUUUGGACUUCCUUGGUAUUAAUCUAUAUGGUAUUUAUUUAUCGUGUAGGGGAGUAUCAUCAUUUACUGUGAGCAAAAUAGAGUGUUCAAAGCAGGCUUAGGCCCGAAUACAUUAGCAUGGAAUAAUAAGAUAGGACUUUGGUCUAUUUUGUUGGUUUACAUUCCAAAGUAAUGAUUAAUAGGGAUAGUUGGGGGUAUUCGUAUUCAAUUGUCAGAGGUGAAAUUCUUGGAUUUAAUGAAGACGAACUACUGCGAAAGCAUUUACCAAGGAUGUUUUCA
rnacentral:rRNA from 1 species